UGCCAGCCGCCGCGGUAAUACGGAGGGGGCGAGCGUUGUUCGGAAUUACUGGGCGUAAAGGGUGCGUAGGCGGCCCAUCAAGUUAGACGUGAAAGCCCCGGGCUCAACCUGGGAUGGUCAUUUAGAACUGGCAGACUAGAGUCUUGGAGAGGGGAGUGGAAUUCCAGGUGUAGCGGUGAAAUGCGUAGAUAUCUGGAGGAACAUCAGUGGCGAAGGCGGCUCCCUGGCCAAAGACUGACGCUCAUGUGCGAAAGUGUGGGUAGCGAACAGGAUUAGAUA
rnacentral:rRNA from 1 species